CAAUCACCGGUUAACGUUCGAUCACCGAAGUCAAGAAACAUUGAGCAUGGUCAGUACAUAGAUGGGUGACCUCUUGGGAAUGCCACGUGCUGUAAU
rnacentral:rRNA from 1 species